CAAAGGCAGGCAAGAGACUGGGAAAGCUUCAGAGUGGACAAAAGGGAGGCUCAGCUGUGCCCUGGGUGGCUGUCGUCGUGGGGAAGCUGGAGCAUGCUCACUAGAAGUGGGGCGUCCUAUGUGCUUGAAUAUCUGCCAUUCAACUACAUCCUAGAACAGAGUGUUGCCAGCACGUUCUUCCAGUGUGAUAGUUGUACAAUUCGCUCUCGAGGACCAGAGUGCAGGCGUGCCUGCCCCACCCCCAACUUCACUGAAAUGGAGCAUCAUCAUUCAAAGAGUACGCUGGUCUGACAGCUGAAGAGGCUGCUUCUGCUUCUUCAUUGUUUUGAUUUGAUUUCUUCGACUGUUAGUGAGAUUGAGUUUUUAAAAAUU
rnacentral:lncRNA from 1 species